GGCCUGCUAGCUCAGUUGGUUAGAGCGUCGUGCUAAUAUGCUGUUAAGGGGGAUUCAACCCCUCAACCGUUACGCGAAGGUCCUGGGUUCGACCCCCAUGUGGGCCA
rfam:Jaapia argillacea MTCL 33604 unplaced genomic scaffold JAAARscaffold_17, whole genome shotgun sequence.